AGUUACAUGAUUGUAAAAUUUUAAGUUAAUCGGUAACAUCAGCUCAUAGGUAAUAUUUAAUUUGAACAAUACGCGUAAUGAAUAAAAAUCAAAGUAAAAUUUAAUAUUGUCGAAUCUGUCAUUAAUAAUCUUAACGAUUUUAACCAACAACAAUUUUUUUUUUUUUUUGCAAGAGUGCAAUACUCUUGCAGUUUUAUUCUUGUUGUUGCAAGAUUCUUGCAUUUUGAGUCUUGGUCUUGGUCUUGUUCUUGCAAGUCUAGUCUUGUUCUUGUUCUUGGUCUUGCUAAAAAAGUCUUGGUCUUGUUCUUGUCAAUUGAGUACAGUCUUGAUGUUGGUCUUGCUGAUAUUAUUACAGUCUUGGUCUUGUUCUUGGUUUCGUAGAAAUGCAAGACCAAGCCAAGACCGCAAGAACAAGAGUAAUUCUGCUCAUCACUAAUCGGGAUACGCGAGAAUAAUAACACGUGCCGCAUGGAACGUUACAAACACACAUCACACAACACACAUACAAGUGAAACUAAUAUAAGCGUGUUAAAAAAACACUUUAUAGUAAAAUCAAUACCAUUUCAGCUUCGCAUUGAAGCUAAAAAACAUACAACGGCAAUGGGUCACGUAGCUUGAAGGAUUAACAAAUAUCUUAAAUAAGGAAAGACGGGAUAAGAUGAAGAAUUCAGUUUUUUUUUUAAAUUAAUAACUAGUUAGCAUUAAAGCCUCUUAUAGUAUAUUUUGUUACACACUAGUUCUAACAUACGUGCACGCACGUUAAUUUUAGAUGUGUUUAGGUGUGUAAAAAAUAUUUUUUUAAUUUUUCUUUUAAAAAUUCCAAAAAAAUUACUUUAGACUGGAAACGUGGAACUUUUUAAUAUCAAAAGGAGGAUUUUCUGCUACUAAUGUAAUGGGUUGUUUGUAUUUGAAGAAAUGGAAAAAGAUAUAGUGAGCCAAAAGUAAGGUUUUAGUUAUGAUAUAAUAAGAUAAAUAAAAUUGGGUGUGUUGAUUAAUCAAUUUGAAUUUUUGAGAACUUGAAUAAAUUUAAUCAUUUUACUUUCGGUUACUAUAAUUUAGUUUGUUUAAUAUUAUUGGGGUCGUGGAGUACGAGGGUUUAGAGAAUGACAAUACAAUCAGAUAAAAGGAUUAUGAUGAAUAUUGAAAUUUAAUGUAUGUAUCAAAUUUAUAAACUUUGGUAAAUCAUUUGAAUAGUCUCACGUUUCAAAGAGCACGAGCUUAUGUCAGCAACUAUGAAACGUAAUAAGAAAAUGCGUAGGUACGAUCUUUGGUCAAGCACUUCGAACGCAUUUAAUAAUUCUCCUGACAAACCAGUUAAUAAAUUUAAUAUGUCUAAAGAUAAAUUAAUUAUUAUUGUUUUGUCAUUUUCUUCUCGGAUUAAAUAAUUUCAAAUUAUUGGAAUUACAAUGUAUCACUUACUUUAUAAUGUUUUUUGUGGAAUUGAAAUGAACAAGACUGACUAGUUUUUCUUUCUGAAUAUUUGAAAGACCUGUGGUCAAUUGCUGUAUUUGAUUCUUGACUUAAAAAUGGAAUGAGUGAGUUGAGCUAAGUGAGUGAAUUGUAUAGCUUUUUACGGCUUUUUAUAAGAAAUCUAUGAUCUAUAUAUGUCACCAAAAUGUAAGAAUUGACCACCAGGGCUUUCAUCUUUAUUGAAACGAAAAUUAUAAGCAGGGAUAAUAUAUUACAUUGGUUAUGGUACAUUUGAUUUUUCUUGGGGAUACUGUUACUUAAUACAUUGUCUUUGUAGAUUAAUUUACAGUGUUUACAUUUAUGAUACAGAUAUUAAUCUUAAACUGAACAAGUACAUACAUUGUAUUAAUUACAUCAGUGAUUAUGCUAUGAUAUCAAUUUAAGAUAAUUAUUUUAUUUUGUGAUAAACAUUGCGAAUAAUAUUAAAUUUGAGCGAUGAACGAUAUACACUUAUUUUAAUUAAUAUAAAUAUAUGAAAAUAUAUUAAAGUUGUUCUGAAAAUCAAAUCUUAAAAUGUAGAGGAGCCGGGGGUAGCUUACAUCCUAAAAGUAGCAAAAAAUAAUUAUCAAUUACUAAACAAAAUAACAAUUUUAAAAUAAAUAUAUGUUUAACAUUUUUAUUAGGCUAGUCAACAAAGGAAAAAUAGCGGAAAAAAUUCCCAACCAAAUUUUUUUUUUUUUUUAAAGUUGAAUUAAGAUAUGUAUAAUGACAUACUUAUAGUCCUCAUCGAUUGGACUUGAGAUUUUUUUUUUACAGCCUCGCAAAAGAUCAAAAAUGUGAGCUUUUUUCAUUUUCUCAAAAAAUAUUUAACUUACAAAAAAAAGUUGUCCUCAUAUCGCAUUCAAUAACAUCCCUCAAUCACUUUUUUGGUCUUCCUCUACCUCUUCUUUCUUCAACAUUCAUUUCUAUAACUGUUCUUACAGCUUCCGAUUCUUCUCUCAUCAUAACAUGACUAAAACAUCCAAGUCUAUUUUCUCUCAUCUUAUCCACGAUUAACGCUACACUUAUACUACCUCUUACAUGCUCGUUCCUUAUUCUAUCUUUUAUAGUCACUCCACUCAUCCAACUAUGCAUUUUCAUCUCUGCUACACUCAUUCUCUGCUCUAUUUUCUUAUUAAUCACCCAACACUCUGAACCAUACACCAUUGCUGGUCUCACUACAUUGUUGUAGAAUUUACCUUUUAGCCUCAUUGGAAUUCUUUUAUCGCAUAAGACAUCAGACGCUUCUCUCUACUUCAACCAUCCGCACUUAAUCCUGUGUCUUACAUUCUCGUGAAUACCACCGCUCUUUUGCACUACUGAUCCUAAAUACUUAAAAAUUUCUACCUCCCCAUUCACAGUCCCGCCUAUUGUCACUGAUCUCCUCAUUUCACCUACCUCAUGUUCUCUUUUGUCAACCCAGCCAAAAUUUCUGGUAAUGAUAAAAUUAAUUGUCAUAGUGUUUAAAAUUGGUCUUGUUCUAGUAAACUCAAUGGCAGAUAAUAACUUUCAUGAUAUAAAUAGGUCAAAAAAAGUUAUAACUGUAUCCUCAAUAACUUCAAAACCCAUUGCUACUAUUUCAACUAAUCGCUAUUAAAAAAAAAAACCGGCAGUGUCCCGGCACAUUGUGUAUAAUUGGGUGCAGUAUAGAUGAUAUGUUACAGUGAUUAAAAUCAUUAUCAAAAACAACGUCUAGAUGCAAAUCUGUAGAUAGUGUUUAAUUUUAAAAUAUUAAUGGAUUAUUACAAAAGCUACAUGAUCUCCUAUUUCCUUAUUUAUAGCCUAAAUACAAGUUAUAUGCAUUACUAGUGCAAAGUAUGUAAUCAAUGGAGGAUUUCUCCACUAUAAAGUUAUUUGACAAAUGUAUCAAACAAAAUUUUUUUCCAUUUUCUUAUUCAUUUUCCCAUUCUAAAUUUUGAGAGAAUAUAUCUUCAACAAAAGUACAAUUUUCUUAAUCUUCAAUCUUUAUUUCUAUUGAAUUUGUACACCAUUGACCUUUGCAAUGUUCACAUAUAAUAGAAAAAUUAAGCCCUGUGUUUCGGCAACCACAAUUUUUAGCACCUCCAGCACCAGACUAAAGGCCGUUUUAUGACAAUUAUCUAUAUUAUUAGCAGAAAUUCCGGUGGCAAUUGACAUAAUAUAAUUGUUGUUUGGGAAUGUACAAUUUAGCGUUUAGUUGGGUUUAAACAAUAUAGCGUCAAAUCAAUUACCUACACUAUCGGUUGUAUCUUAAUAUACACUACACUUUAAUGAUACUAUAAAUAAAUAAACUCACACAUACACACAUAUGCAUUUAUAACAUUGUGUCUAAUGUAAAUAUAACAUGAUAAAAUGUAACCGUAUAAUGAAAAAAAUUGGAAAAUAAAUUUUAGUACUCAUAUUAAAUGUAAUGUAACUCGAAAAAUAUUUGUUUAAAUGAAAAAAUUUAAGAUACACUUUUUUUAAAUUGUUUUUUAAACAACUUUUGUACGAAACUUUUUUUUGUAAGUUAAAUAUUUUUUGAGAAAAUUAAAAAAGCUCAUAUUUUUGAACUUUUGUGAAGCUGUAAAAAAAAAAAAGCUCAAGUCCAAUCGAUGAGGACUUUUAGUAUGUCAUUAUCAAUAUCUUAAUUCAACUUUUUAAAAAAAAAAUUUUGGUUGGGAAUUUUUUCCGCCAUUCGCCAAAAUUACUCCUUCGUUGACUGGCCUAUAUCUGUAUGUUGAUGAUCUGAAUACAAUGAAUAGAAAGAAACUGACCUGAGUUAUUUGAUUUUAAGUGAAAAUAAAAACACUAACAGAAGAUAAAAUAGUGAAUGUAAUAUAGUGACGAAUAUUUGUAAAUGUUUGUAACUAUAGUACAUAAAUUGAUAGCCAUUUUCAUAAACUACCGAAUCAAUGACAAAAGCACACAAAUAUGGGUAUACAAACAAACCAAAUGAAUUGUGGUAAGACUUGACUGAGGUAUUGAUAGUAAAAGUAAUCAAAAAUUGUAUAACUCAAUUAUCGAGUUAAAACGUAAGAGAAGAUAGUACAUAAGAGUGUAAAGACGAUUCGUAAAAAUAAAAAAAAAAUGACAGAUAUUCGUUGUAAAAGGGACGACGGUUGACAAGACGAACCGGUCACAUGGGUGCAUUAUGGGAAGUUAAGGACAAGGUGUUAAAGAUGUCACUCUUUACCUUACAAUAUUAAUUCAUAAAGACCCAUUUCUUUUACAUUAGUUUUGGUUACAAAGUUUUACAAUCGUUUUCAUCAUAUUGUCCCAUAGUUGGGAAAAAAGACAAUUUUCAGGAAAACUCAUGUUUUACCUUUUAAAAAUGAAAAAAACGAUUGAAAAACUUUGUUGUAUUACGCUAAAUAUUGAAGUAAUAUUCAGGUAAAUUUCAAAUUUUAAAUCCAUUCAAAGAAAUCAGAAAAAAUGGUAGAAGUCUAACCUCGCCAUCUUACCUCACCUAACCCUAAAUUAUGCUUAAAGCUACAUUUUGUGAACUGGCAUACUUGAGAUUGGAAUGUGUUUUUUAGCUUCGGUGCGAAGCUGAGAAGUUUUCGCUGGACCGAUUUUGAUGAACAAUAUGUCAAAAGAUCACAAAUCGUAUCUAGUCGAAGACAUAACCCUCAAAAAUUGAAAAAAUUCCCUCGUUUCCUGUAAACAGGGGAAAUCCCCAAAAAAAUUACAAAUUUAAAAAUCGCUAAUUUUCGACAUUUCUUCAAUUUUUUUUACUUAAAAUUGGCAUAACUUUUUUAAAAAUAACUGAAUCAAUAUAUUUUUUUUUUUAUAGACACCUUAGAUAUAUACCUAUCAUUUUAUAUAUAUUUUUGUGAACAUUUGACCCUUUAACAGCUCACAGGAAAAGUUUCAAAAUGAUAACUUUAUUACAAAAAAUUAACUUUUUGAACUUAACUUUUGAAAAUGUUCCGGAAAGACUGACACUUAUAAAAUACCUUAAAUUAAAGCUAAAGUAAUAUACUUUAAAAAAAAAAAAAUUUGAUCUUUGGACUUGUCUUCAUGGUGAAAAUGACUACCGUAUGCAAAAAUAUGCUAUUUUUGUGAAAAAAUUCUUAAUAUUAUAUUUUACAUUUUUGCUUCGAUGCAAAGCUGAAAAGGUAUUGAUUUUACUAUGACGUGUUUUUUUUUCCAGGCGUUUACUAUUAACAUCACAUUUAAAUAUGACCACAUAACACCAUAGAACUAUGUACAAUUCGUUAAUGGCUAGUUAACGAACAAAAAUUCGAUUAUGGUAACUAACGACCAAAACAGUGGUUAAUUUUCUUUUUGUGUCUGUUACCACUUUUUCUCAGCUCUAACCGAACGGAUUUCAUUCAACGAUACGUCAAAAGAUCACAAUUUGUAUCUAGUCGAAGAAAUUUCCCUCGUUCCCCGUAAAUGGGGGAAACCUCCAAAAAAAUUACAAAUUUAAAAAUCGCUAAUUUCUGAAAUUUUUUCAACUUUUUUUACUAAAAAUUGCCAUAACUGUUUCAAAAAUGAUCAUAUCAAUAUAAUUUUUUUUUUAUAGAUGCAUGAUGUCUUUACCUAUCCUUUGGUAUAUUUUUUUUAUAAAUCUGACUUUUUACCUGCCUACAGGGGGGGAUUCAAAAUGACAACUUUUUCACAAAAAAUUGACUUUUUCAACUUAAAUUUUGAAAGUGUUCCGGAAAGUCUGACACUUUUAUAUAUAUCUUAAAUUAAAGCUAAUGUAAUAUACUUUAUAAUGGUAAAAAAAAAUUUCGGACUUUAUUUUAUCUUCAUGGUGAAAACAGACAUUAAACUUAAUAAAAAAAAUACGAUUUUUGUAAAAAAAUUCUUUUUUAUAUUUUUAACUUUAUAAUGCUAUAACUUCUCGAAAGAUGUAUGGAUCAAUAUAAUUUUUUUUUUUAUAGAUGCAUGAUGUCUUUACCUAUCAUUUGGUAUAUUUUUUUUAUAAAUCUGACUUUUUACCUGCCUACAGGGGGGGAUUCAAAAUGACAACUUUUUCACAAAAAAUUGACUUUUUCAACUUAAAUUUUGAAAGUGUUCCGGAAAGUCUGACACUUAUAUAUAUAUUUAUUAAAUUAAAGCUAAUGUAAUCUACUUUAUUAUGUAAAAAAAAAAUUUCGGAUUUUAUUUUGUCUUCACGGUGAAAAUGCCUACCAAAUGCUAUUAUUGUGUGAAAAUUCUCAAUUUUAUUUUUUACAUUUUUAACAUUAUAAUGCUAUAACUUAUUGAAAAGUGUAUUGAUCAACAUAAUUUUUUUUGGAGAAAUAAUAUUUUUUAAUAUUCCCUUUUUCUUUUGAUAUACUUUAUCUUAAUCAGGAUAUAUUUAAGGAACUAGUAGAUCAUGUAGCUUUUGGAAUAACACACCCAUUUUUUAAAAUUAAACACUAUCUAAAGAUUUGCAUCGAAGUGUUUUUUUUUUAUAGUAAUUUUAAUCACUGUCAGAUAUCAUUAUACUUGAUCCAACUAUCCCACGUCACCACUGUUCCGUGACCUCCCUGUGCUGGGUUUUUUUUAUUUUAAAAUACUAUAACUUUUUAAAAAAAUGUAUGGAUUAAUACAAUUUUUUCAUGAAAAAUAAUAUUUUUUAAUAAUCCCUUUUUCAUUCAGGAUAUUAAUAAGAAAAUAGCAGAUCAUGAAUAAUCCACCAAUUUUACUAAAAUUUUUCUUAAAUUCUAUUCUACAAAAUAGCUAUCUUAGUUUUUUUUUUACAUUUUAUUUAAAAUUUAAAAAUAAUUAAUAUUUUUAAUAAAAUGUAAAAAAAUUAAUUAUUGAUAUAUAGCUAUAGACAUAACGUAUAACUAUUAUUAAAAAAAAAAAACCAACUAAAAAUAUUAACUGGAUCAAAAGUUAUUUAAGUUGUCAG